rnacentral:rRNA from 1 species
UACGAGAGGCCCAACCGUUAUUCGGAAUUACUGGGCUUAAAGAGUCCGUAGGCGGCGCGGAAAGUGGGGUGUGAAAGCCCUCGGCUCAACCGAGGAAUUGCGCUCCAAACUACCGUGCUUGAGGAACCUAGAGGUGAGCAGAACUGAUGGUGGAGCGGUGAAAUGCGUUGAUAUCAUCAGGAAUACCGGAGGCGAAGGCGGCUCACUGGGGGUUUUCUGACGCUGAGGGACGAAAGCCAGGGUAGCGAACGGG